AAUCAAACCCGGAGAUAUCUCGUUCUCCCCGAAAUAGCUUUAGGGCUAGCGUCGCGCGUUCACCGCCGGAGGUAGAGCACCGGAUGGACGAGGGGGCUUCGCCGCCUACCGAAUCCAACCGAACUCCGAAUGCCGGCGGCCCAGAGCGCGGCAGUCAGAGCAUGUGGGCUAAGCUGUGUGCUCGAGAGGGAAACAGCCCGGACCGCCCGCUAAGGUCCCCAAGUUCCAGCCGAGUGGCAAAGGAUGUGCGUCCGCCCAGACAACCAGGAUGUUGGCUUAGAAGCAGCCAUCCAUUCAAAGAGUGCGUAACAGCUCACUGGUCGAGUGGACAUGCGCCGACAAUACACGGGGCUAAGCUGGACACCGAAGCGGCGGGAUUUUAAUUCAUUAGAAUCGGUAGGGGAGCUUCCCAUGGGCGGAGAAGCCGGAGGGCGACCGACGGUGGAGCGCAUGGGAGUGAGAAUGCUGGCAUGAGUAGCGAGAGACGAGAGAGUAACUCGUCCGCCGUGAACCCGAGGUUUCCUGGGCAAGGCUAAUCCUCCCAGGGUCAGUCGGGGGCUAAGGCGAGGCCGGUAGGCGUAGCCGACGCGCAGCAGGCAGACAUUCCUGCACCGCGCACGCGGCGCUACGACCGACGGGGCGACGGAUGGGGGUGGCUCGGCGGGGUUCUGGACGUCCCCGUGAAAGCGCGUAGGCCGCAGGGCAGGCAAAUCCGCCCUGCAGCGAGGCCGAGACGUUAGACGAAGCUUCAUGUGAAGCCGGCGAGCCCAUGCUUCCGAGAAAAACCUCUAAGGAGCGAGGCGGUGCCCGUACCAAAACCGACACAGGUAGGCGGGUAGAGCAUACCAAGGCGAUCGGGAGAACCAUGGUUAAGGAACUCGGCAUACUGACUCCGUAACUUCGGGAGAAGGAGUGCCCCCGCCUGUGAGGUCCCACGCGGACGGAGCGGGAGGGGGUCGCAGCGAAACGGCCCAAGCGACUGUUUACCAAAAACACAGGACUCUGCAAAGCCGCAAGGCGACGUAUAGGGUCUGACGCCUGCCCGGUGCUGGAAGGUUACGCGGAUGAGUUAGCGCAAGCGAAGCCCUGAAGCCAAGCCCCAGUAAACGGCGGCCGUAACUAUAACGGUCCUAAGGUAGCGAAAUUCCUUGUCGGGUAAGUUCCGACCUGCACGAAUGGCGUAACGACUUGGGCGCUGUCUCAACCAUGGACCCGGUGAAAUUGUAUUAUUCGUGAAGAUGCGAAUUACCUGCGGAAGGACGGAAAGACCCCGUGAACCUUUACUGCAGCUUGGCAUUGGCUGUUGGUGCGGUGCGUAGAGGAUAGGCAGGAGCCUGCGAACCGGGAACGCCAGUUCCCGGGGAGGCGCCCUUGGAAUACUGCCCUCACCGCAUCGGCAGCCUAACGCGCCGCCCUCAUCGGGGGCGCGGACCGUGCCAGGUGGGUAGUUUGACUGGGGCGGUCGCCUCCUAAACUGUAACGGAGGCGUGCGAAGGUUCGCUCAGGGCGGUUGGCAAUCGCCCGCAGAGCACAAGAGUACAAGCGAGCCUGACUGCGAGACCAACAAGUCGAGCAGAGACGAAAGUCGGUUCUAGUGAUCCGGCGGCCCAGCGUGGAAUGGCCGUCGCUCAACGGAUAAAAGGUACUCCGGGGAUAACAGGCUGAUCUUGCCCAAGAGUCCACAUCGACGGCAAGGUUUGGCACCUCGAUGUCGGCUCAUCGCAUCCUGGGGCUGUAGCAGGUCCCAAGGGUUGGGCUGUUCGCCCAUUAAAGCGGUACGCGAGCUGGGUUCAGAACGUCGUGAGACAGUUCGGUCCCUAUCCUCCGUGGGCGCAGGAGAAUCGAUGGAGGCUGCCCCCAGUACGAGAGGACCGGGGUGGACGCACCUCCGGUGAACCGGUUGUCGACCAACGGCACGGCCGGGUAGCCGCGUGCGGCGCGGAUAACCGCUGAAGGCAUCUAAGCGGGAAGCCGUUCCAGGGAUUAGUUCUCCUUCCGGUAAGGGCCCAGGUAGACUACCUGGUCGAUAGACGGCAGGUGCAAGGACGGCGACGUCCUCAGCCGAGCCGCACUAAUCGCCCGAGCUCUUCCGGA
rnacentral:rRNA from 1 species